rnacentral:rRNA from 1 species
UACGGAGGGUGCAAGCGUUGCUCGGAAUUAUUGGGCGUAAAGGGUAGGUAGGUGGUCUCAUUUGUCUGGGGUGAAAGCCUUAAGCUUAACUCAAGAAGUGCCCCAGAAACGGUGAGACUAGAGUCCUGGAGAGGGUCGUGGAAUUCCCGGUGUAGCGGUGAAAUGCGUAGAGAUCGGGAGGAACACCAGAGGCGAAGGCGGCGACCUGGACAGGAACUGACACUCAACUACGAAAGCGUGGGGAGCAAACAGG